rnacentral:rRNA from 1 species
UACGUAGGGUGCGAGCGUUAAUCGGAAUUACUGGGCGUAAAGCGUGCGCAGGCGGUUCGGUAAGUCAGCUGUGAAAGCCCCGGGCUUAACCUGGGAAUGGCGGUUGAAACUCGCGAACUUGAAUCCGGCAGAGGGGGGUGGAAUUCCACGUGUAGCAGUGAAAUGCGUAGAGAUGUGGAGGAACACCGAUGGCGAAGGCAGCCCCCUGGGCUGAGAUUGACGCUCAGGCACGAAAGCGUGGGGAGCAAACAGG